rnacentral:lncRNA from 1 species
UUAUGUUACUUGUCUUUGUUAUACAAUGUAACAUUUUGUUUUGUCUCAAUUUUUAUAUAUCUACCAAUUAUAGAAUGUUUUGUUAAUGCUGAAAUUACUUUUUAUCAUGUGAACAAUAUAUUUGAAAGUAAUUCAUUGAAUAUAAAAUGUCACAAACAUGAGAUUUAUUCACAAAUAAAUGAAUAUGGGGUUAAAAAAAAUGAUGAAUUGAAUUUCAUCUCAAUAUGCAUAAAAAUAAAUUAUAACAUGUUAUUCCAGUUGCAAAAUGUUACUGUUUUUAUUACAUUUUUCACCCAAAUAGUCAAAAUGCUUUUGAUACAACAUGCGCUAAGUCAAAUGUUUAGUGAAAUUUUGUACAGGGCAUUGUAAGGAAUAAGAACAUACCCGUAAUAAAAAGGCGUGAUCAUGCAAAGUCAGGCAUUUUUAAUUUGGAAGUGAAUGAUUUCUUUAUUUAAUUAAAAUACAUGGGGUCAAGAAGUUGAUCUGAGCUGUCAUAUCUUAUUGCAUAAAAAAAAAUGUUGUGCUUUAUUUUCUCUAGGUUUAGUUUUUUUAAAUUUGUGAAAUGGUUUACUUUUUCUGGUAUGAAUGAUACUGUUAUUAUGUGCAAUAUUUCUUUAUCAAAUGGUGCUUUUAGAUAUCUUAGUUUUGUUUAAUAUUGUUUUUAAUUUGCUAUUUUUAUUUUUUAUUUUUCUUAUAUUGUGAAAGUGAUUACAGAAGGUGUUACCUGUAACCAUAAAUUUUGCACUAUUUUAAUGAUCUUUCGUGUAAUCAACACUUUUGUUUUUGAACAGAGCACUUUGAUUUAAGAUCAAUUAAGACUUAUGAUAAUUGCUAUCUGUUAAAUUUCUAUUUUAUAUAACAGUCUAUACUGUAAUUCUAAUCAUUGAAUUAUUGUCCUACAUUUCUUCAAUUUAAGAUUGAAUUUACUACAUAAUGUUGAAAUAUUACCUGGCGAUGCUUAAAUAUUCAAGACACUGGCAAAGUUCGUCAACAAUGGAUUAAUCAUAGCGUAUUAGAAGGACAUUUCCCUGUUAACACAUCAGUUAAAAAAAACAUUUUUUGAACCAGAGUGGAAAUUGUUUCCUUUUUAAAAUCUUUUCUUAAAACAUUUUUAAUGGUAUUAAAGCCUUACCUAUAUAUUCUGUUAGUUCUUAUAGUUUGAUAAUUAGCACAUAAGCAUGUUUUAUUUACACGAUUGGUCACAAAUUUGUUCACGAAUUUGUAUGAGUCUAAAGUGAGUAUAUCUUCAAUAUAUAUCAUCUACUGUUGAUUUGGGUUUUUUUUGUUGCUUGUAAAUUUCUUCAUAUUAUAUUGUAUAAAAAAGAAAUCG